CCCACGGCCGCUGUUGUUUACAACGGCACGGCGGCGCGUGUGCAUGCACCUUUAAGUCGGGAUGCGUGGCCAGGUAUGCGGCGUUCACACCUGUGCGCGACACCAUCGAGCUAAAUAUAGAGAGUCACUCGGUAUACCAGCGACGUUCUCGAUGCUCGCCGAUAGAGACGACUAUUAAUAGCGUGCGACAAUCGGACGCGCUCGCCAUCGAACUAAAGAGGGAAUCGCGUGUGUGGUCCGGACAAUUAGUGGCCACUGAUUUGCGCCCGAUACUUCAGCGACAAUUUUUUUGGACGAUAUUGUAUAGCAAAUGUAUCGCAGAAUGCAAUAUCUGGGUCGUGUUACGUCGUAUUUCAGAAAGAGAAUUGCACGCUGCAGCCAACGAACCUUGCAAGCAAGUCGAACGAAAGCGAGUCAAAGCGGCCGCGGAAGCCGCCUGUUCCCGAACCAGCAGGAAAGUUAACCAAUGGUCGCCCCCGGGACGUAAACAAUAAACAAAAGUCCCGAUGAAUCAGCGCUAAGGCACGUUGAAACGAGCCAGCUCUAAAGAUGCUCUAUUAUUAGCCGUGUGAGGCAAUUACGGGCACGCCGGUAACGAUUAACCAGCCGCUUUUAAAUCGGCCAGUUAUUCCUGCCGAUGUGUCAUGGUGAAGCGGCUGUUCCAGUGGAAUCGGCGACAUUGACGACGUGUGGCCAUUCGCGUGUCUAUUCGCGCGCCAACGCGGCCACGAAGAAAUAGGAUCGUGGAAACAAGCUUCUAUGUUCGUCGAUGAUUUAUAAAUAAAAUAACGAGAUUGUUAAGCGGCGCCAACAGAGAAUAAAUAUGCACGCGACGUACUGUUCUCCGGGCCCCAACGAACUUUUCCAGCGUAUUUUCCCGUUUCCCCGUUUCUUCGAACGAACGUGAAUGAAGGUAGACUCGGGACAAGCCUUUGUCGCCAGACGAUUCACACACGUUCGCCGAGAUGCGCGACCAGCAUGCGAAUAGCGGCACGUUCGCGAUUAGAACACCCGCUACAACCUACGUUCCCGUUGGUAGGCUGGUGUAAACAGGAAGCUCGCUAUCGCCUUCACGCUGAAUCUUCCAUUGUCUCUGCGACAACGGGCGAAAUCGCUCGGCGAUUCUCCGUACCCGAAGACUGGCAGUUGGACAAAAGAUUUCUUCUUUCGGAAAUACAUAUCAAGAGAAACCGUCUCCGCAUGAGAAACACGAGGCGCCGCCGUCUCGCUGCCUACUUUUCAGAAUAUUCGAGAUUUCUACUCUCACGGACGAUUUUCUACCGUCCCGGAACUACGCGGCUCUGAUGCAUUAUGUCCGCGCCACGUUGACGCGUUCCCUGGCGAAAGACUUUUGUUCUUUCCCACUCUAUGGAUUAUUCAUGUAUACUCGGUGUUUAAAGUGACAAUAUAAUUACAUCUCUGGCUCGGCCUGUCAUGGAAGUCCCUGCUGACUUCAUCCUUCCUUUUUCAACACGCGAACAUCAAAAACUCCAGGGGCUUCUCUUCCGUCUUUCGGGAACUCGGUUUUCCUUCGAUUAUCGCGCUCAGUCGGUACACAAUAACGUCGUCACUUUCUAAAAAGCGUGUCGUUCACAUUGCCAAGCGUAUAUCCCGUCGGCGAACGUGUGAACGCGCUCAGAGGCCUAAUCACACGCGCGCGGUGUCGUUCGGCCGCGAUCCAGAAACGAUGUCGAACAAAGAAGAUCACGGUGAAGUUUGCGUGGAGAACGCGUUCGAUGGUUGCACUCGACCUAGGUCAAGGUGAACGAGCGACCAUCGUUCGUAGGGUCGUCGUUGCGAGGGAAUAGCGUUCGACAAGCGAACGGCAGACAACGCAGGACUUCCGAGACGCGUCGUGAGAAGUAUCGAAGAACCGAGGCCGUAGGACCGGCUGGCCACGUGACUUCCCAGGAACGUGGCUUCCGUUCCAUACCUCGUUGAUUGCGUUGUAUAACGCGUGCGGGCCGGAAGGCGGAUUACGAACAACGCGGGAAAUUGUCUUCACCCUCCGUGAUCGCGUUUGUUUUCACUACCAUCGACUCAACGUGUUCGAAUCCGGCGCGCGGUGGAAUUCGCGUAUAAACAAAGCGAUUAAAUCAUUGUUGUUUAAGUCUUUAUCGCUCGUAGGAUGUGCCAGUUCCCUUUGGUUCUCUUAGUCACAUCCUUAUCUCUUCUAUUUAGAAUCUUCCGUUCUAGAUAUUCCAAAUAUUUGAUCAUCCGUUGUUUCGAUGAUCGCUUGCCUUUUGCCAAACGAUUCUAAUUUCGCGGCCAGCCAAAUUCGAAUUUCGAUAUUUGUAUCGCACGUGGUAUUUAACAUUCGUAACUACCGUUAGUAAUCAGUUACGCGGAGUAUGACAUUUGGCGGAUCUACUUUCAUUCCUGACGCAACACGUACUAAGUUUCACGUCAGGUUCCGCCGGUCAGAUAUUCUACGGCAUUGUGUUAUGUAAAUACAGUUGCGCAUUUUCUAAUUUUUCGAUACAUAGAAAUUUCCAUGGAACACCGUGUAUUAUUCUUACAUUAGCCGCAAAACUCGCGAAUAAUUAACAGCGGUCGUAACUGGGUAACAACGAGGAACCAUCUGGUCCGAAACUUCAGACGUCGAAGACGCUAUUCGAUCCAGUCCUUUCAACCUGGCGAAGCUUACGCAACGUCGAAAGACAAAACUAUCGCAUCGCGUUCGACGUUGCCCGCCAGCUUCACAAGCCAGUCGUGGCACGCACUGAUGUUUAUUUGUUUUAUCCGGUGGCGAAUUGCACGCGAUCGGUUUUCGGCCGCGUGAUUCGAGGAGGACCGAGUGCGCGCCACAUAAGGGCAGUAGGUCACUCCCGAAAUGAUCAGACCGACGCCGUUCGUGUCUGUCGGCCGCGACUACUAUUCCUGGCAAAUUAUUCCGGCCUCUCGCGAAUAAAUUGGCCCGGACCGACGCCGACCGCGACCAUUAUCGUACGUGUUCGAGACUGCGUUAUUAAUUUAACGAACCUGCUGUCG